rnacentral:lncRNA from 1 species
UCCAGUGAGACAGCUGGCUCAAUAAAGUCUGAAACAUUUCCAUUUUUCAUUACGUUUGAGUAAAAAGGGAUACUUAACAAAGGACCCCCCGAAAUCACAACUACAAUAAAAACCCAUAGGAAUGAAGAAAUAAGAAUGACUGACGUAAGAAGCAAAUCCAAAGAGGUCCCACACAGCUACAUUAUGAAAACAACAAAUAGCAAAUCUUCUGUCAUGAAGUUGAAUAUAAUGUGGUUUAGGCAGAGAACAGCUGACUUGUUGACGAAAGUGUCCUAGCAAAAGAGAAGUCACCUUACCUGGAUGAGAGUUGAAACCCUCGUUAUAACUCUUGUGGAUAAGAGGAAGUUGCUCGUCUUAUGAACAAUUGAUUUGGGGCUUUUUUGAUAGGCUACAUAAUGAUCUCUUAAUCUGUGAAAAAUGAGACCAUAUAUCAUCACAUUACCCAUCUGUGCAAAAUAGGGCGUCAGGAAGAAGACUAAAAAAGAUGUGAAAGAAUUGAGGAAACCAAAAUAAUGUCAGCAACUUAGAAUUUCAGAGGUUUCAAGAAAUAAGGAAGCCACAGAGAAUGAGUGUACAGAAUGUGGGAACAAUUAAAUCUCAAAAAGGGCAUGGAUAUUUAUGGUAUUUGGUGAAGUAGCACUGGAAACUGAUAGAAGUGAUAGGUGUAUAACUGCCAAAAUAAUCAAUGGCAUUUAAUUCUACACUAAAAACAGAACGGUGAUUAGGAGUAUAAUUUAAUAGUACUUAAACAAUCACAAGGCCCUGGGUUUGAUCUGCAGCACUACAAAAACAAAAAAAUGUAUAAAUCUAUAUGACAAAAUCUAUAUAGCUAUAUGUACACUAAAAUAAUGCAAUGCUCAAAUAUAUAUACAUGAUCAAAUCACAUACAUGUGUGUGUGUGUGUAAUGUUGUAUACCAAAACCCAUUACAUACUAAAACCCAUUCUUCAGCUUAACAAUUUCCAAUCAAGUGAGUGGAUCAUUCAAUCAAAUGAUAAAC